UAAACCUGAGUAACUCGAGUUAAGCGGUAAAGUGCAAAAGGUGGUUAGACGGCCUGUUCCAUUAAAGGGAGUUAUUAUUAAAAGUUAGGGAGCCUACCCCGAGGGGAAGGGGUGUAAUCCGGGUCUCCCUCGGAGGAAGGGGGGAAUGUUUCCUUUGGGCUGAGGCCACGGAACCGGGAAGCCGAAGACAUGGAUUUGAGACCCAUUUAUUACCGACGCAAACUUUGCUUUUCAGGCAGCUGCUUGGGGACUACGAGCGUGUGCUUAAAACUCAAAGAACUUGGCGGCUUGUUAACUACCUAGGGGAAUAUGUGCCUUAAUCCGAUGAUCCCCGUCGCAUCUUACUAGGCCUUGAAAAAGUGCAGCUGGUGUAUUGCCGUUGUCAGCUUGUUGUUCGAGCAAGGAGUAACAGGCUUAAUGGAGCCGUAGCGAUUAUAUCGUUGGUGUCCGUGAAUUCAGGUCGUAAUACCGCCUACGGCCUAAGGGAGUAGGUGUUACAAUUUAGAUUUAAAAAUACGGAUCUUUAUUUUGAAAUAUUAGGGUGAAGGUGAACUUAGGAGUAAGGGGGAAUUAAUAUGUUUCCCUGAACAUGAAUCUGGCUUGUGUACAAACUGCCCCGUCGCUCUCGCCGAGAGGUGAGAUAAGUCGUAACAGGGUAAGGGGUA
rnacentral:rRNA from 1 species